GUAAAAAGUGGGUCUGUUCUGCCAGGUAGGAGAAGGAAGAAAUGUAUGAUGGCAAUCAGAAAAGUUGGAAUGGAGGGCCCAUGAAAAUUAUUCUGGGUAAAGAGGACGUAGAUAAAUAAUUUCUCUGCAACACUGGUCUCCAGUGAUCCACACUACCAGGAGCAGCAUGGAUCAUCUGGGUAUGCGGCAGCAUGCUGAGGAAAUCUCCAACUAUCAUCUGGGGGGAAGCUGAGAUUAAGGUAUCCUAGAGAGAGCUCCCUGCUGCUUCAGUGAAGUUGACAGAAAGGAGAUGGGAGGAUUGCAAACUUCCUAACAGGUGCCUUGACUGUUGCAUGAUGGGCAGAAAUGUAAUAGAGGCAACUUUCCUCAUUUCUGUGGGUCUAUGCUAUGCUAUGGAACAGCUUCAUCAGUUCAAUUCUGCCUGUUAUAUAGCUUUUAAAGGCACAUCAGCCACUUUAGGAAAA